rnacentral:lncRNA from 1 species
UUUUCUUUUUUACUAUGAGAAGGUCCUUCUUGAAUCCUUAUAGAUUUAAGGUACAGAAGGAAGGGAUUUUGGUCUAGCUCAUUUAUAUUGAAAUAAUUCUUACUUGUUCAAAACAGAAAUUAAAGAAGCACAUAAAAGAAAAAGAAUAAUGAAAGAACGAUUUAAGCAGGAAGAAAGCAUUGCAAGUGCAAUGGUAAUUUGGAUCAAUGAAAUACUGCCCAAUUGGGAAGUAAUGUAAGUAAGCAGAUUUCUCCAGAGUCUAGUGUGUCUCCAAUAGUUCAUCUUUUCCAAGUCUGUAUUAUCACUUCUCAGCAUGGAGCUUAUGCUGUGGUUAAAUUAUGCUAUUAACCAUUGCCCGAAACUCAUGUCUUUCUCUACACUCUCCUGAGCUCCUGUCUCUAACGCAUACUUUUCUCCCUGACCAUCCUCUGUGCUGUCAACAUCUUACCUGCUCUCUGAAACCCAUGGAAUGACUCAGGAAACCUUUACUCUUCUAAAUUACCAUUUUUCCUAAUUCUAAUACAACACUAAUUAUAAAACAUUCAUUACUGGAAGGACUCAUUACAUAGAGAAAUAUAAGGUACAUUUAUCAGAUGUUGAAAAGUGUUUCUAAAGUUGAGUAUGGUUGCGUGCCUGUAAUUCCAGAAACCUGGAAGCUGAGAUGGGAGGAAUUCAAUACCGGCCUGGAUAAUAAUGAGUUCCAGAUCAGCCAAAACCACAUAGAGAGACAGUGUCUACAAAUAAAUAGAUAUAUGAAAAGAAAGAAAGAAUGUAAAAAACAAUAAAACAUUUUUAAAUGCUGUUCUCUUAACUAAGAAACCAUGUGAACUAUGGUCUUUGCCCUGUAAAAGUCGUAUGUCACCUUGAGGCUAGUAUUCUUGCUUUUCCUGCCCCCGUUUUGGUCUCUUCUUUUUUUUUUCUUUUGGUUUUUUGAGACAGGGUUUCUCUGUAUAGCCCUGGCUAUUCUGGAACUCACUUUGUAGACCAGGCUGGCCUCAAACUCAGAAAUCCGCCUGCCUCUGCCUCCUGAGUGCUGGGAUUAAAGGCGUGUGCCUUAAUUACACCCGGCUUGGUCUCUUCUUUCUUGACAAUAUUUCUACAUAGGUUUUAUCUUCCUUGUGGACAAAAGGGUUGAAGGAUGCAUUCUACAAUGUAUGUAGGGCAUACAUUGACAAUGUGUUAAUUGUUAGCAAUGUGACAGACACACAGUAGUCCUUCUUAUCCAGGCUCAUUGUGUGAAGAUUCAGUUGCCUGUAGUCUAAAAAUGGAAAAUUAGCUAAUUACAUAUAAAUAAAAACGUCUAGAAAUUC